rnacentral:tRNA from 1 species
GCACCCGUAGCUCAGCUGGAUAGAGUACUCGGCUACGAACCGAGCGGUCAGAGGUUCGAAUC